rnacentral:ncRNA from 3 species
UACGUAGGGUGCGAGCGUUAAUCGGAAUUACUGGGCGUAAAGCGUGCGCAGGCGGUUUUGUAAGUCAGAUGUGAAAUCCCCGAGCUCAACUUGGGAACUGCGUUUGAAACUACAAGACUAGAAUAUGUCAGAGGGGGGUAGAAUUCCACGUGUAGCAGUGAAAUGCGUAGAGAUGUGGAGGAAUACCAAUGGCGAAGGCAGCCCCCUGGGAUAAUAUUGACGCUCAUGCACGAAAGCGUGGGGAGCAAACAGG